rnacentral:rRNA from 1 species
CCUACGGGACGCAGCAGUAGGGAAUCUUCGGCAAUGGACGAAAGCCUGACCGAGCAACGCCGCGUGAGUGAAGAAGGUUUUCGGAUCGUAAAACUCUGUUGUUAGAGAAGAACAAGUAGGAGAGUAACUGCUCUUACCUUGACGGUAUCUAACCAGAAAGCCACGGCUAACCGCGUGCCAGCAGCCGCGGUAAUACGUAGGUGGCAAGCGUUGUCCGGAUUUAUUGGGCGUAAAGCGAGCGCAGGCGGUCUUUUAAGUCUGAUGUGAAAGCCCUCGGCUCAACCGAGGAAGGUCAUUGGAAACUGGAGGACUUGAGUGCAGAAGAGGAGAGUGGAAUUCCAUGUGUAGCGGUGGAAUGCGUAGAUAUAUGGAGGAACACCAGUGGCGAAGGCGACUCUCUGGUCUGUAACUGACGCUGAGGCUCGAAAGCGUAGGGAGCAAACAGGAUUAGAUACCCUUGUAGUC